UCUGUCUCUGUGGUGGAUAGUGGAGUGUUUCCCAUGUGGUAUUGGUGUGCUGGAUAUCCCUUCACUGGUAGCCUGGUAACAUACACUCCCAGGUCUUUCUCUGUCUCUGUGGUGGAUAGUGGAGUGUUUCCCAUGUGGUAUUGGUGUGCUGGAUAUCCCUUCACUGGUAGCCUGGUAACAUACACUCCCAGGUCUUUCUCUGUCUCUGUGGUGGAUAGUGGAGUGUUUCCCAUGUGGUAUUGGUGUGCUGGAUAUCCCUUCACUGGUAGCCUGGUAACAUACACUCCCAGGUCUUUCUCUGCCUCUGUGGUGGAUAGUGGAGUGUUUCCCAUGUGGUAUUGGUGUGCUGGAUAUCCCUUCACUGGUAGCCUGGUAACAUACACUCCCAGGUCUUUCUCUGUCUCUGUGGUGGAUAGUGGAGUGUUUCCCAUGUGGUAUUGGUGUGCUGGAUAUCCCUUCACUGGUAGCCUGGUAACAUACACUCCCAGAUCUUUCUCUGCCUCUGUGGUGGAUAGUGGAGUGUUUCCCAUGUGGUAUUGGUGUGCUGGAUAUCCCUUCACUGGUAGCCUGGUAGCAUACACUCCCAGGUCUUUCUCUGCCUCUGUGGUGGAUAGUGGAGUGUUUCCCAUGUGGUAUUGGUGUGCUGGAUAUCCCUUCACUGGUAGCCUGGUAACAUACACUUCCAGGUCUUUCUCUGCCUCUGUGGUGGAUAGUGGAGUGUUUCCCAUGUGGUAUUGGUAUGCAGGACUUUACAUUUUUCUUCACUAAAUUGUAGCAGCCACUUUUUGUUCCAUUCCUGUAGCUUGGUGAUGCCUUCUGGUAGGAAAUCCAGUCAUGGGGUUAGUUCCAUUUUUAGGAUAGUUAAUCAGAAGUGUUGGAUUUCACAGAGUUCAGUCGUCAUAUACCAACUCAAUUGUAAAGUGGGAUGAGACUAUCAACAAACCCAACUAGGCGCCCUUAAAAACAGGUAAAAAAAUGACAACUUAGCCACAGUGUUAUUAAUAAAGACUAAUAUGAUGUUAAAAAAAUCGUACUGGCGGGAAAAGAAAAAGAUCAGAAUAGGUGUUUUUUACCGCUAUUAUUUUUUAUGUACAAUCGUCACUCAAAUAGUUCGGUUUUAGUUUUAUACGAAUUGUCACGGAAGAUCUUUUAGGAUUUUUAAAUUUCCUGGUCAUCGGAAAAUUUAAAAAUCCAAAAAAAUCUUCUUAGAAAAUCCACAUAAAACCAAAACCAAACUGCUGGAAACCGUACUAUUUGAGGGAUGACUGUAUUGUUAUUAUUAAGCAGGGCAGUUAGUAGACGAGAUAAAUAACAAGAAACAACAAGA